CCUUUGUACACACCGCCCGUCGCUACUACUGAUUGAAUGGCUCAGUGAGGCGUCUGGACUGGCCUAGAGAGGAGGGAAACUACUACUCAGGGCCGGAAAGCUCUCCAAACUCGGUCAUUUAGAGG
rnacentral:rRNA from 1 species